rnacentral:lncRNA from 1 species
CGCACCCCGCUGCCGUGACACCCCCCGGCCCCCAUCCCGCUGCCAUCACGCCUCCCGGCCCCCGCACCCUUGUCUGUGUCCCACAGCACAGGACCUGUCAGCGAGCGUCUGGCGCCUUCCUCCCUCCCCUGCAGAGACCCGCCAGGCCCCUCCAACAGGUGCUUUCUAAACUGCAAUUUCCUCAUCUACAAAAGGACAAUCACAACAACGGAACCCAGGGGACAGGACUGCAUCAACUACAACCAGACGGCGUAGACGGCAGCACACGGCCCUCGGCAAAUCAGAGGUGCUCAGUGACCACAGCCACCAUGACAGCAGGGCGGGGCGGGGGGCAAGGAAGCAGCGCUGGGAGACUUGGAGACACCCCAAAAAACGCCUUCCUCAGAAACACUGCUGUGCAAGAACCUGCAAAUCCCUAAGGCGUCUGUGUCCGAUGGCCCCGGCCCCAUGCUCUGAGGUCGCGCAGGUGUCCAAGGCCAGGAGGGGCACCGAGGAGACGAAGAAGAAACAGCACAGCAGCUGGGGAGGUAGGAACAGCAGAGUCUGAGUCACCAAAGCCCGGGGCUGCCACUCUCCAGGGCGCCCCACUCCCAGCUCCAGCGGCUGAGUCCACCAAGCCAGGACAGGCCCAAGGACCAGAGGGCGAGGUGAUUCACAGUGGAGCUCGGAAAGACCCAUCCAUGCCCAGCGCCUUGUCAAAAACCACAGGGGUCUUGGUGACAAGCAAUUGAGGGAGGCCAACAUGGCAGAGCCAGGGCUGCAAAAUCGGCUGGAAUAAGCAUCAGACCUGCUAGAAGGGUUUUCUGUGCCUGUUUUCGGUGAGCACAGAACAACUGAAGGAAGCGCGGGACAGACACAAGGGCGGGCCUCGGUGCCACGGCUGGCCUUGGGCAGAGGGAAAUGCUUUGUGUACUUUCUCUGGGAAGCAGCAGCCCCAGCGCGGCCUCGGCGUCCUCUGCCGCCAACUGCUCCGUGACCGCUGGGCGUGUGUGCGGGGACAUGGGAGCAACUUCACAGUGGUGGGAAGUUUCUCUCCUAAAACGAAAGCUUCUCUAUACUACAGAUUGGCCCCAUUAAAUAAAAGAAAAUACGGUGUAUUUUUACAGCGUUUGGGAUUGGAAAUGACUGAGAUUCACGGUGGCUCUAGUCCUGUCUCCUGAAGACGGAGCUGGACGAGGUCUGCGGACAGUCAGAAAACACGUCAGGGUUUUGGCUCAGCUGCCAGAUAUGCAGCUAUGGUGGGAUUUCUGCGGCAGGGCAAGGAAGUGGAGACAGUUCGCGUGGCAGAGCACAGCGGGUGCCCUAUAGUGGGCACGCCUGGAGAGCGUAUAUUUUCACAGGGCCCGAAACCUGAAUGGAGGAUUCUUUCCACCAGCUGCGGGGUGGGGGGGGGCUCAGGCACAUCAGUUUUCCCACCCAGAAGACGAAGGCCUGCGAAGGGGGCCCCAUGAGGCCUGGGAAGGGGGCCCCGUGAGACCUGGGGUUAAAUCUUCCACAGCAAGCAGGGACCCCAGCCAGGCUCUGCACAAGGCAGGCGCUGCGCUCAGGUGGGAGUCCUGUGAGAUGCUCCUGCACCCCACACUCCCGUGACCACAGGCGAGGCCUAACGCCCCCCACGCCGGUUCAUCUCGUCUCCUCAAACUCCCACCAAGAUGCUCACGACAGGGCCCAAAUGCACUCCCGGGGGGUUGGCUAGUCUGCAGGAUCACAGGCUGGCCCAGUGAAAACCUGGGCUUCGCUGCCUUACAACCAUGCAGAACUCAUAGCCAGGCCAUGUGCCCACCUGCCCACUGGGACCCCGGGACAGUGCCUGCUCCAGACAGAGGCUGGGAGCUCUGUGAGGGGCACAUGGAGUGAAGCAGAGCCUGCGGCUCACCUGUUUGGCUCUGGCUGGCCAGGUGCCCCCUCAA